GACAGUAGUGAAAUAGUGUUAGGAAUUAUUAGUAAAAGGAGACCAAGGCAGAGUUUUUCCUUCCAGUCUGGUGUUUCCAGUGCAGCAUGUGUAUUUCUGGCUAUCCUAUUUAAGAAAGAUGCAGAAGAACUUGAAAGACUACAGUGAAGGACAAGAGAGGGGAUCAGACAUAAAGAACAGCUCUGAGGAAGGACUCAGUCUUUAGACUCGAAAAGGAAGAGAUAUGGAGAAGCUGUAACAAAAUUUUGCACAGCAUGGAGUCAUUACACAAGAACUAGCAUCUUCUAUGACCAUGGACAAACAGAGGUUAUUGAGCUGAAAGAACCAUCAUCUGAUGUGGUAUGACUCUUUUGUGUCUUAACUUGACCCCUGGAGCCACAAAUAUGUCUGCAUAUGAGGUUUUGUGAAACGAAACAUAGAUUUUUAAGAUAGAAGCAAUUAACAGUGUUGCUGUGAAGGCUUCAUGGCCUAAUUUGGAUGAUAGAGAUGAACCAUCUGUCAGAAAACCAAUUACCAGAAGAAACCAUGAACCAACAACUUCCCCUGACAGGCAAAACAAUUCACUUCUGGUCAGUACUGUGAACUUUCCCAUAGUUUGAAGACCCCAGACCCAUUUCCAGAAGAGUCUUUAUAAUUAGCUUGAAGAGUGAACAGAGGGAGGAGAUGAACCACCCGCAUGUAAAUUAACUGGGCAUGGCAUGAAAUGUGAUGUGUACUGAAAUCUUCAACGUGUCCACCCCCUCUCCAGAAGAUGUCACGGGACCGAAUAACCUGCAGAGCGAUUGUAUCUUACACUCUCCCUCCCUCUCUCUGAUAUCUCAGUCUAACAUAUCUACUUCAUUUUUCUCCUCUCUCUUUUCCUUCUUCUUGAACUUAUAAAGGUAAUAUCAUUGUAAGUUUUGUUGCUAAAGCCUUGUUAAUUUUUGCACAAUAGUUCCUAACUGUUGACAAUUCACUGUUUUUAGAAGGUUUUUUGCUGUCAAUGUACUGGUAAGUUUUGUGAUACAACAAUAUACUUUUGUCAUAUAAUAAUAUACAAAUCACUAAUCACUGUAAUUUGUGUUCCACCAAGUGCUUUUAGUAAAUUCAU